AUUGAACGCUGGCGGCAGGCCUAACACAUGCAAGUCGAGCGGAAGAAGGGAGCUUGCUCCUGGAUUCAGCGGCGGACGGGUGAGUUAUGCCUAGGAAUCUGCCUGGUAGUGGGGGAUAACGUCCGGAAAUGGGCGCUAAUACCACAUACGUCCUGAGGGAGAAAGUGGGGGCUCUUCGGACCUCACGCUCUCAGAUGAGCCUAGGUCGGAUUAGCUAGUUGGUGGGGUAAAGGCCUACCAAGGCGACGAUCCGUAACUGGUCUGAGAGGAUGAUCAGUCACACUGGAACUGAGACACGGUCCAGACUCCUACGGGAGGCAGCAGUGGGGAAUAUUGGACAAUGGGCGAAAGCCUGAUCCAGCCAUGCCGCGUGUGUGAAGAAGGUCUUCGGAUUGUAAAGCACUUUUAGUUGGAAGGAAGAGCAGUAAGUUAAUACCUUGCUGUUUUGACGUUACCGACAGAAUAAGCACCGGCUAACUUCGUG
rnacentral:rRNA from 1 species